rnacentral:rRNA from 1 species
UACGGAGGGUGCAAGCGUUAUCCGGAUUCACUGGGUUUAAAGGGUGCGUAGGCGGGCAGGUAAGUCCGUGGUGAAAUCUCCAAGCUUAACUUGGAAACUGCCGUGGAUACUAUUUGUCUUGAAUAUAGUGGAGGUGAGCGGAAUAUGUCAUGUAGCGGUGAAAUGCUUAGAUAUGACAUAGAACACCCAUUGCGAAGGCAGCUCGCUACACUAUUAUUGACGCUGGGGCACGAAAGCGUGGGGAUCAAACAGG